rnacentral:rRNA from 1 species
CCUACGGGCGGCUGCAGUGGGGAAUCUUCGGCAAUGGGCGAAAGCCUGACCGAGCGAUGCCGCGUGCGGGAUGAAGGCCCUCGGGUUGUAAACCGCUGUCGUAGGGGAGAAAGGACCGUUGAAGAGACGGUUUUGAUCUAUCCUAGGAGGAAGUCCGGGCUAAGUUCGUGCCAGCAGCCGCGGUAACACGAACCGGACAAACGUUAUUCGGAAUUAUUGGGCUUAAAGGGUGCGUAGGCGGUGCGGUAAGUGAGGUGUGAAAGCCCUCGGCUCAACCGAGGAAUUGCGCUUCAUACUGCCGUGCUGGAGGGAGACAGGGGUAAGCGGAACUGAUGGUGGAGCGGUGAAAUGCGUUGAUAUCAUCAGGAACACCGGUGGCGAAAGCGGCUUACUGGGUCUUCUCUGACGCUGAGGCGCGAAAGCUAGGGUAGCGAACGGGAUUAGAUACCCGUGUAGUC